AACGAACGCUGGCGGCAUGCCUAACACAUGCAAGUCGAACGAGACCUUCGGGUCUAGUGGCGCACGGGUGCGUAACGCGUGGGAACCUGCCCUUGGUUUGGAAUAACUCCCCGGAAGGGGUGCUAAUACCGGAUAAUGUCUUCGGACCAAAGAUUUAUCGCCUUUGGAUGGGCCCGAGUUGGAUUAGCUAGUUGGUAGGGUAAAAGCCUACCAAGGCGACGAUCCAUUGCUGGUCUGAGAGGAGGAUCAGCCACACUGGGACUGAGACACGGCCCAGACUCCUAGGAGAGGCAGCAGUGGGGGAUAUAGGACAAUGGGCGAAAGCCUGAUCCAGCAAGGCCGCGAGAGUGAUGAAGGCCUUAGGGUUGUAAAGCGCUUUUACCCGGGAUGAUAAUGACAGUACCGGGAGAAUAAGCUCCGGCUAACUCCGUG
rnacentral:rRNA from 1 species